rnacentral:rRNA from 1 species
UACGGAGGGUGCAAGCGUUAUCCGGAAUUAUUGGGCGUAAAGCGUCCGCAGGCGGCUUUUCAAGUCUGUUGUCAAAGCGCGGGGCUUAACUCCGUACAGGCAAUGGAAACUGUGAAGCUAGAGUAUGGUAGGGGUAGAGGGAAUUCCCGGUGUAGCGGUGAAAUGCGUAGAUAUCGGGAAGAACACCAGUGGCGAAAGCGCUCUGCUGGACCAUAACUGACACUGAGGGACGAAAGCUAGGGGAGCGAAAGGG